AGACAGAACUGGACUCCUCACAGCAGUGAACUUCAGCACAGGAAAGGACAUGCCUGAAAGACACGACUCAAAAUGUUCUCCUUCUCUGAGGGUCAAGAAGAACAUCCAAGAGGAACAUUAAAAGCUGAUGUUAUGAGAUUUUAAGACCAGUACAGGACAUUCACUAAGAAACUACUUUUAUUGUGAAAACA